GUCAUUCAGACGAGCAGGUGGGAAGGUCGGCAGGAGUGCAGAGAAGAGACGCGGGAAGCGGGAUGCAGAGAGUUCACCUGUCCGUCUCCGUCCGUGUCCGCGGCCCGGAUCAUCUCGUCCACCUCCUCGUCACUCAGCUUCUCCCCCAGCCGGGUCAUGACGUGUCGCAGCUCGGCGGCGCUGACGAAGCCGUUGCCGUCCUUGUCGAACACGCGGAAGGCCUCGCGGAUCUCCUCCUCGUUGUCCGUGUCCUUCAUCUUCCUGGCCAUCAUGCCCAGGAACUCGGGGAAGUCCACGGUGCCGUUGCCGUCCCGGUCGAUCUCACUCAUCAUGUCCCGCAGCUCGGCCUCCGUGGGGUUCUGGCCCAGGGACCGCAUGACCGUGCCCAGCUCGCGGGUGGUGAUGCAGCCGUCCCCAUCCUUGUCAAACAGGGAGAAGGCCUCCUUGAAUUCUGUGACCUGCUCCUCAGUCAGCUGGUCGGCCAUGCCAGGGGUGGGGGCGUGGGUGGCAGAAGAGGCCACUGUGGGGUCUCCCUCCCAGUGCCGCAGCCCGGCUGCUGUCCCAGCUCUGGGGUGGCAGGUGGAGAUCCGGGCGG
ensembl:lncRNA novel transcript